rnacentral:rRNA from 1 species
CCUACGGGUGGCAGCAGUGGGGAAUAUUGGUCAAUGGGCGCGAGCCUGACCCAGCCAAGUAGCGUGAAGGAUGACUGCCCUACGGGUUGUAAACUUCUUUUAUAAAGGAAUAAAGUGAGGCGCGUGUGCCUUUUUGUAUGUACUUUAUGAAUAAGGAACGGCUAACUCCGUGCCAGCAGCCGCGGUAAUACGGAGGAUUCGAGCGUUAUCCGGAUUUAUUGGGUUUAAAGGGAGCGUAGAUGGGUUGUUAAGUCAGUUGUGAAAGCUUGCGGCUCAACCGUAAAAUUGCAAUUGAUACUGGCAGUCUUGAGGACAGUAGAGGUAGGCGGAAUUCGUGGUGUAGCGGUGAAAUGCGUAGAUAUCACGAAGAACUCCGAUUGCGAAGGCAGCCUACUAAACUGCCACUGACAGUGAGGCGCGAAAGUGUGGGUAGCAAACAGGAUUAGAUACCCUUGUAGUC